CCUUUGUACACACCGCCCGUCGCUACUACCGAUUGAAUGGCUUAGUGAGACCUCCGGAUUGGCAUUAAGAAGCCGGCAACGGCAUCUUUUGGCUGAGAAGUUGGUCAAAUUUGGUCAUUUAGAGG
rnacentral:rRNA from 1 species